GGAGCUGUGCCCGAAUUCCAAGGGCCACUUUGAUAGAGUGAAUCAUGAGGGUUAAAGCCCCUCCAGCUCCUAAU
rnacentral:tRNA from 1 species